GAAGGUAUAGCUCAGUGGUAGAGCGUGUGCUUAGCAUGCGUGAGGUCCUGGGUUCAAUCCACUGUACCUCUA
rnacentral:tRNA from 1 species